AGUGAACGCUGGCGGUAGGCCUAACACAUGCAAGUCGAACGGCAGCACAGUAAGAGCUUGCUCUUACGGGUGGCGAGUGGCGGACGGGUGAGGAAUACAUCGGAAUCUACUUUUUCGUGGGGGAUAACGUAGGGAAACUUACGCUAAUACCGCAUACGACCUACGGGUGAAAGCAGUGGAUCUUCGGACCUUGCGCGAUUGAAUGAGCCGAUGUCGGAUUAGCUAGUUGGCGGGGUAAAGGCCCACCAAGGCGACGAUCCGUAGCUGGUCUGAGAGGAUGAUCGGCCACACGGGAACUGAGACACGGUCCAGACUCCUACGGGAGGCAGCAGUGGGGAAUGUUGGACAAUGGGCGCAAGCCUGAUCCAGCCAUACCGCGUGGGUGAAGAAGGCCUUCGGGUUGUAAAGCCCUUUUGUUGGGAAAGAAAAGCAGCAGGUUAAUACCCCGCUGUCCUGACGGUACCCAAAGAAUAAGCACCGGCUAACUUCGUG
rnacentral:rRNA from 1 species